UCUACGGUAAAGUGGAAAGUUGGGUAAUGUAUGUCUCUGUCAGUACAAAUACCUACGGUACACAAACGAUGAAACGUGAAGUUACGGUCUUCUAGAAAUCAUAAUUUUUUGGGAUUUUUAUUUAAAAAUUAACAGGCUAGCUAUUGCUCAGUAUAAGGAAAAAAUUUAUUGCACCCCAAUUUUUUUAUAAAAAACUUUCGCUCUGCUUUUGCUUCUGCACCGCUAGGGGGACUUUUUAAAAACAACAAUGCUGUGACUGAUUGUACUGUCUACAGUGUACUGCCAUGUUAAGUGAUUAUUUGUGAUUAUUAGCCCAAAGGAAAUAGAGCCUGCAAGUUGGACAUGUCAUGGGAGCAGUAACUGGAGCUGCCAAAAUUGGUUUCGGGAUAGCCGGACAAGGUCCAGGGCAGGCAACGAUGAACUCUCCGCCGGAAUGCUCCAUCACAAGUUUCGCUUAGCGGUCAUCUAAACACAGAUUUAUAUGUGAUGUAACGUACCCUAUCCAGGUUCAAGUUCGAGAUUUUAGAAGCAGUUUAACGAAUAUCCAGCAGCCUCAUAUAAAUGCAGAUUUCCCACUUCCCAUAUGCAAAUUACUUGAUCUGGAUGAGAUGACUGAUGCAAUGUAACAGAAAAAUGUAACAGAAAAAAGAUUGGAAAUCCCUGUGUUACCAAGCUAUAUAGUUCUUGAAUUACAAACCGAGUGUGGUCUGUGUGGAUGAUUUUUGGGACUCCUGCUAAUAUUAAAAAACCAUCUGGUGUGGUAAUGCCAUUCAGUGCAAACCAUCAAUAUCUUCUUAUCUUCUUUUCUUUCGGCUUCCACAGUCAUUUAUUAAGCUGAUGGUUGGAAGUUGGAACACCAUGUUUGAGGUUUCUCAAGCAAAGGGACACUUAAUCUAUUGCCCAUCUUUAUUCUGGUCGAAAACACUUCGUCGGGCUUUGGUCUCGUGUCCAGAAAAAUCGAAAGUUUACUGCUCGUAACGAUGCUAUGCCUGCCAUACACAUCUCCAGAAAUAGCAGCUGCCCUGGCCCUUGCUGGAACUUAAUUUAGAUUGUGUCCCGCGGACUUCGAAACUUGAAUAAGAAUUUUCAUUUAACUUUUAAAAGUCAACAGAUGCUAACCCGAUGCCACCCGUUUGCGGAUAAGGGGCCUGCUCGUGGAUUCGAUCCACGCCAGGAAAUCUAUCAAGCCCCAGGGGAUCCCACCAAAGUUACUGUUGACGUAGAUCCCAAGUCUAGCUGCGUCUUCAAUUGCUGGAGAACCGAGAGCCUUUAAGCCAUGGAGUGGCUAGAUCUAUAGAGAAGAUCUAUAGAAAAGAUCUAUAGAUAAGAUCUAUAGAUAAGAUCUAUAGAUAAGAUCUAUAGAGAAGAUGUUAAUUUGGCAAUGGCAAAAAAGAAAGUGGGUGGAAAGUGCACCACAGAUCACACUUCAGCAGCUGGGCCGUGGCUAAGGUCAAGGAAAGGCUCAACAUCAGCCUUACAUUUACGACAGUUUUUAUCCAAACCUAUCCUAUCAAUACCCAAACUACUAUCCAAUCUCUGAUAGCCGGACCCCAAAUUUAGCUUAUGACAAACGCUUUUUAUUCGGUUCUUUACCAACAACAACAACUACGACGACAACCACAACAACCACGACAUGCACUGUAUCGACCGCUGCAACCUGUAAUACUACUGGUCGAAAAAAAAGAGCUCUUGAAGAGGACGAGGAAAAUAUUGAACCUUCUCCUGUAAACGAAGUUGAAGCCACAAUUGUUUCCGAGAUGCCAUAUGUAAUCAGGAAAGAACGUAAACCUGAUCCUCAGCUUGCAAACUGGCGUCCUGAUUUUCCAUCAUACGAACUUCGGUCCACAAUCGGCCAACGUCCUUUCUCUAACAACUACAAUCCAUACUUUCGUCGGCCGAUGAUUGUAGGCGAUCCAAAAUAUUUCCUGUAUUAUGGUUACACGACAACAACUACUUCUACAGUAACUACUACAUCUCGGUCAACUCCGAUUUGCUCUCAAGCAAGUAGUUUUAACUCUUGUUAAGCGCUUUUCAAAUCUACGGACAAGCGAGAAGUUUCUAUUAUUCGCAUAUUAACCGAUGUCCAUGAACUAAGGUGUAAGGUACCGAAGUUUAAGGCGAUAAAUAAUUAAUAAUGAAUUAAUUGUAAAGGAAUGAAUAACAUGUUCUUGAGAUUCCUUGGAAAUAAACAGACCAAUGCUGUCAUCAA